AUAUAUUCAAUUACUCAUCUCCAACUUACUUAUUAUAUUCAGUUUCUAAAUUCAUCAUACAGAAUUCAAUAUCUUUACUUAAUACAACACAAUUUGAUAAUCUCAAUUCUCAAGGUCACAGAUUUUUUCCAAAACGGUCAGUCCAAAGUCAUAUUCCACAAUAUUCUAAUCACAAUUUCAACAAUACUUUUCUAAAUCAGAAUUCUUCAUAAGAAAAUAAUAAAAGCAAAAAAAACAAAGAGGUAGCACUAAGCUUACCCCGGCUUACAACUAUCACAGUCUGGCCCCUAUUUCUCUUUCUCAACUUCUUUAUCCUAU
rnacentral:lncRNA from 1 species